UACGUACCGGACAAACGUUAUUCGGAAUUACUGGGCUUAAAGAGUGCGUAGGCGGCUUUGAAGGUGGGGUGUGAAAGCCCACGGCUCAACCGUGGAAUUGCGCUCCAAACCGCAAGGCUUGAGGAAGACAGAGGUGAGCGGAACUGAUGGUGGAGCGGUGAAAUGCGUUGAUAUCAUCAGGAACACCCGUGGCGAAGGCGGCUCACUGGGUCUUUUCUGACGCUGAGGCACGAAAGCUAGGGGAGCGAACGGGAUUAGAUACCCCGGUAGUCCUAGCUGUAAACGAUGAGCACUAGAUCGUGGGGACUUCCACAUCCUCUCGGUCGUAGCGAAAGUGUUAAGUGCUCCGCCUGGGGAGUAUGGUCGCAAGGCUGAA
rnacentral:rRNA from 1 species